rnacentral:lncRNA from 1 species
CAAAAAGGAACUUCUUUGUGCUUCCCUUUUAUACUUUCACUACCCCCUGCAACCUGAGAGAGAAUGGGAGAAUUUAAAGUAGAAGAGUGGAAGGAUCUGAGACAAGUCAACUGGAUCAAGAACGUAGCUUAUCCAACUUUGGGUGCCCUAGAAGCCUUAGAAAAAGACCUGUGGUGGAAAAAUCUAGUACUGGCCAGCCUAUGGGACUGUAAUGAGAAGAGAGGGGACCCGGAAUUAGCUGUCCAGACCUGCCAGAUGAGUAAGUGCAACCUUAUGUUAUGUGGGGCCACAAAUGCUGGGAGGAGGGUAGCACCCAUUCCAUCAGCUGUAAGAUUAUUUAACAUGGUGUUUAAAUGUCUUCCCUGAGUCUCUAAAGUAGGAACUUCCAACAAUGUCAGGAUCACUCCCUGAGCGCUGCUCAGACACUAUGUUUAUAAUGGACGUCUUUAAUUAGUCAGUGGCAUCUUUUUCUAGUCCACCGUGAGUGCCAUUAUUACAGACACUGAAUUUAUUAGAAGGUCACAUUUCCAAAAAGCCUGAUAUUGCCAUUUUCACAUCAGAGUUCUGAUCUGUCUUUUUAUCCUUUUGGAAAUCACUUGUAAUACCAGACAGAAGCAAGCUGGACUGGAUGGGACUGUGAAAAACAAACUUCAGGAAUCCAGAGACUGUGGAGUGCUGUUUUUUUUUGGUUUUGUUUUUUUUUUUUUUUCAGGUAGGGGAACAAGGAUUUGAAUGUAAUUUAAAGCCAGCUCUAUUUAGGAAAGCGGAGCAAGAUGAGGCCUGUACACCAAGUUAGUGGCAGAGAAUGAUAGUCUGCCAGUCUGUCCCCUCUAUAAGUGGGUGGGCAUUUACUUUGCAGGGGUCCUGGAGGUGUAGGCUCCAUAUUAUUCAAAUAAUAUGCUGGUCAAUACUUCAUUAAAUAUUUACCCUUCCACAGUUCGUCUUUUUUUUUUUUUUUUUGCUUUGCAGAUGUUGCUGAGACAAUACAUCGUGUUUCAUUAAAAAUAAAUUUUAGUAUCUGAGUAUGACUCUUUCUUAC